AUGAUCUUCUACCGGCCGGUUAGGGUGUCUCCCGACAACUUCAUCCGUGCCCUGACAGGGGAAGACCGGUGCGAAUCCGGCGCUGACCCGCAACCGUGAGUACACCCCGCGCCCCGCGCGCCCGUACGAGCCGGAGCACCUGUCCGGGCGCGAACAGGCUC
rnacentral:ncRNA from 1 species